UCAAGGGGCAAGAGACAGCUGCUGAAGUUCAAAGACAGAUCGCAAGGACGCCGGAGGGCUGAGCGAGCGGCCGGACCCCGCAGCGCCCGGAACGCACAGCCCAGCGUGCGGCACCGGGGCGGCGACCGUGCGUGCCCCCACGCCCACUCCCGACGCGCGAGGCUCAGCCGGCCACGAGACACAGCCCGGAGUCCCGGCAACGAGGACCGGGGAGGGAGCGCAAGACCCAAGACCUCCGCCCCUCCAGCGGGCUCAGGCUCACCCGAGAGAAAACACGGAAGAGUUGGAAAUCCACACGAGGGCUGGACUCCAGGGGAGGAAACCCGCCGCCGCCGCCGGAGUACGAGCCGCUAAUAUGGCCCCCGCGCGUGCGCAGAGCCGCCCGGGGGCGGGGCGGCCGGGGACGCGGAAGCGGUCCUGGGCGGGGCGAGCACGGGGCGCCCAAUGGGAGCUGCGGGGCGGGGUUAUCCCCGGGAGGGCGUGGCCCGGCGCAGGGGCGGAGCUGAGGACUCUGGCCGGGGCGGGAGGUGGCCUGAGCGCUGGGUUCCGUUUCCUAUGGUUUCGUCUCUACCUCGGCUUGCGUCCCGGCUGGUCACAGGCCCGGGGGAGGGACAGCGGGCGCCCGCCUGUGGCUCUCGUUCCUGCCCGGGGCCCCAGGGCGGUCCCCGCCGCUUCGGACCGCACCUUGCCUCCAGCCGCCUCCCAGCGUUCUCACUUGGAAAGGAUCUCCUGGAAGUGCCCAGCUCGCCUUCCCGCCCUUUCCGCCCACCUUCAGCCGCCGACUGCACCCGGUCAGGGGUCCGCAGGCUGGAAGGGGGACCAGAGCUGGGUUAACAACGUCAUUCGCUCCCAGUCGCCCCCUAGGAGCAGCCGGCCGGGUAGCGUCUUUUAUGUAGGGUGCAACAUUGUUGGAUCUGGGUAGGUUUUGAAAGGCAGGUAGCUUAGAAAUGAGCUGUUUGGGCCGCUAGUCCUCUCUGUGUGGUCCACACAGCGUCCGGGUCCCAGGGGGACCUUGUACAGCCCGCCCUCGGGCUCAUUCACUGGGUAGUCACAGGCUCACCCAGACUCAAGGCGCAGAGCCUGUCGGUGGGAAACAGCAGUGGCACGUGACAGCGGAACCCGUGGGAGGGGAGAUGUCGGGGUCUCAUCAUCCCACACAUCGCUGCCGUCACGUCUUCCCACUGCGACAGGAAACAGUCUACCGCUGAAGGCACCCUGCAUCGAGGCCUCCCUCGGUCAGUCCCUGCAGGAAGGGCCCUUGGAAGUUCGUGGGAAACACCUGUUAGGAAAGGGCUGCGGAUGGAUUUCAAAGUGUGCACCUCCCGCGAUCUUCCUGAAGUUCUGUGGUCCCCGCGGUUCAGCCACUGUCACCUACUGGGUCACCCACAGUCAUUACUCGGCCUUCCCUCUUUAAUCUCACUUUUAACUGAGAAAUCUCACUGAAAAACUCUGAAUUCUGUGGGGUAAACCUAGGCGGCGGCGGGGCCCUGGGUCUGGGCGAGGCCCUCUGCCACUCUGUGUGUGUUCACCCCUGUGUGCCUGGGAGCAGAGAUGCGGGGGGAGACCCCAAAACCCAACUCAGCUAUUGGGUUCUGUUGCACAGUAGGGUGACUGCCCAUAAGGUAAUGUGCUGUGCAUGUCUCUUUAACCUGGAAGACGGGAUUUGGGUUUGGUGAUUGGACUACCGAAAACAUCACAUCACACCCCAUAAAUGUGUACAAUUUUUGUAUGUCGAGAUUUUUAAUUAAAAUAAAUUUUUUUCUAAACAGUUCAUUUUUUUUUUUUUUUGGACAGGUAGAGUGGACAGUAAGAGAGAGAGAGACAGAAAGGUCUUCCUUUGCCGUUGGUUCACCCUCCAAUGGCCACUGCGGCUGGCGCACCGCACUGAUCUGAAGGCAGGAGCCAGGUGCUUCUCCUGGUCUCCCAUGGGGUGCAGGGCCCAAGCACUAGGGCCAUCCUCCACUGCACUCCCGGGCCACAGCAGAGAGCUGGCCUGGAAGAGGGGCAACUGGGACAGAAUCCGGCGCCCCGACCGGGACUAGAACCCGGUGUGCCGGCACCGCAAGGCGGAGGAUUAGCCUGGUGAGCCGCGGCGCCGGCAUUACAAGGUUUUAUUACAGGAAUUGGCUCAUGUGACUGUGUGGCUCAGCCUGAGCCUGAGGCCUGGUGAGGACCUAGGGAGAGAGCGGGGCGGGGGAUUGCGAGGGUCGGGCCUGGAGCCCGAAGGCCAGGAACCUGGAGCUGCGACGUGUGAGCCAGGAGAGGAUGGGUGCCUCGCCAACUUGUCUUUUCUCUGCGUGUUUUCUGUCUGGCCCCUCAGCAACUGCAGGAUGCCCACCCACCUCGGUGAGGAUGGGUCGUCUUCAGGAAGCCCUGCAGACAUACCAGGAACAAUGUGUCUGUGUCCGCUGUCUGGGUAUCCCUUAACCCACUCACAUCAGCAACCUAAAAUUAACCAUCAGAGGCACCAAAGCGUUUGUGGAACACACGGAACUGAUGGGUCGGAGGUAAGCUAGACCAAAACCGAACCGGAGACAUCAGUGCAAGGCAGCAUAUAGAAAAACUGAAACGGCGAUCGGCAGGAUCUGCAUUGCAGACUCACUGACGGGGAAUCCACGUUAGCAAACGCAAUCCCGAAGGGACUCUAAGAGUUUCAUCACGGGAGUGGUCCGGGAGUAAAACCCAAGGCUCAGUCCAUUCUUCUGAUCCUCAGUUUCCUGAAUGACCAAGCUAGACUGCAAGCCAUCAUCUGGGGUGGGCGUCAGGCCUCGUGUCUAAGCCAGCUGCGUCGCAUCUCUGAGCACCUCUAGUGCCUGCGGCUCCUGACCCCAGCUUCCUGCCAACUCAGGCCUUGGGAGGCAGCAGGUGAUGCUAUACGUGGUUGAGUCCCGCCAUCCACGCGGGACACCUGGCUCGUGGCUUUAGCCUGGCUCAGCCCUAACCAUUGUGAGCAUUUGGGGGUUGAACCAGAGAAUGGCAGCUGUCUUGUCUCUCGGUGAAACAAAAAUAAAAACCACAAAAUCCUUUAA